UUUAGACAUCAUUAUCACAUUCAAUUUGUUUCAGAAUUUUUGUUUUCAUCAUAAUGAUUUUGAAUUUCAUAACUCAUUAUUCUGCAGUAAUAGUUGCUCAUCCAAUGCCUUCUUUCUUUUAUCCUUAUUAUAUAAACUCCUGUUUUUUCUCUGCUAAAUACAUUAUUUUGAACAUCACGUACAUUUCAGGCUGAUUUAAAAUUGUGGAGUCAUAUUCUACUGUGUGGGUGUAUCAGAGUUUUUACCUAUUUACUAGUGAUGACAAUUUUUUCUCAAUGUUGUGUCAUCAAAAGUUUUUAAAACAAAAAUUAAAACAUGAAAGUUUUUGUCUUUGACAAUUAUGUAAGUACAAAUGUGUGCAAGCAGGUUUGGUUCACUAUUUUCUUACUAAAAAGUCAUAAAAAUACCCAUUCAUUUUUACUGAGCCAUGGAAGAUAGGCUCACAAUGAAUCUUUAGGCUUCUGCUGUUCCUUGCUGCCUAUUUGUAAGUAAUAAACCCACUGCAUGUAACUCGUAUAUGCAGGUAUUCUUUUUUAUAAUUAAGUAAAAAAGUCACAGUUAUUUUGAUAAUGACUACAAUGAAUCUGGAGAUUGCUUUAAGUAGUAUGAACACUAUAACAAUGUUAAGUCUUCUAAUCCAUAAACACAGUAUGUCUUUAAUUUGAUUGUGUCUUCUUCAAUUGCAUUCAUUGACAUUUUGUAGUUUUUAUUGUACUAAUCUUUUACCUCCUUAAUUUUAUUCCUAAGUAUUUUACAUAUCAAGUUUUAGUAUUAGCAAUACCUUUUAUUAGUUUUGGUCUGGUAAUUUUUUUUAAACUCUCUUUAGUCAUUAAAAUAUACUGGCUUAGUAUCAUCUUGCCUAUGGAGGUCAUCAGUGUGUGCCUGGGCCGUGAGCCACGCUCUUUCCUUUUCUUCUGGAAGGAGGGUGGAAGAGGGAAUUAUAUAAUGGACAGAUGUCUUAACCGCAUCCUGGAACUAUUUAACAGUUCUACUGAAAGUCUUGCACAAGCAGCUGUAGAAAAGGGUUGGGGGUGCUUGUAGGUGGUCACAAAGGACUGUAUUGAGAAGGUCAUGGAGGAGGAGGAGGGGUAGCUUGGAUCUCUAACAAGAGCUUCUUCAUCUAAUGUUUACUAUACCAUUUUCUUAUUUG
rnacentral:lncRNA from 1 species